UACGUAGGGUGCGAGCGUUAAUCGGAAUUACUGGGCGUAAAGCGUGCGCAGGCGGUUUUGUAAGCCAGAUGUGAAAUCCCCGGGCUUAACCUGGGAAUGGCAUUUGGGACUGCAAGGCUGGAGUGCGGCAGAGGAGACUGGAAUUCCUGGUGUAGCAGUGAAAUGCGUAGAUAUCAGGAGGAACACCGAUGGCGAAGGCAGGUCUCUGGGCUGACACUGACGCUCAUGCACGAAAGCGUGGGUAGCAAACAGG
rnacentral:rRNA from 1 species